rnacentral:rRNA from 1 species
UUGAUUAUUUACACCCACCUUCCGCCAGGGAACUACGAGCUAUAGCUUAAAACCCAAAGGACUUGGCGGUGCCCUACACCACCUAGAGGAGCCUGUUCUAUAAUCGAUAAUCCACGAUGCACCUCACCGUUUCUUGCCAAGACCGCCUAUAUACCGCCGUCGUCAACUUACCCCUUGAGGGGUACAUAGUAAGUUUAAGGGUAUUCACCAAAACGUCAGGUCAAGGUGUAGCGAAUGAAACGGGAAGAAAUGGGCUACAUUUUCUAUAUUAGAUUACACGGACAACCAAUAUGAAACUUGGUUGCAAAGGAGGAUUUAGCAGUAAAAAGAAAUCAUUAAGUUCUUUUUAACGAGGCCCUAGGGCGCGCACACACCGCCCGUCGCCCUCUUCGACUCUUUAAAAAUUUAUUCAUGAUAAGUUAACUACGAAACUAGAAGAGGUAAGUCGUAACAUGGUAAGUAUACCGGAAGGUGUACUUGGAAC